rnacentral:rRNA from 1 species
AUUGAACGCUGGCGGCACGCUUAACACAUGCAAGUCGAACGGUAACAGGUCUAGCUUGCUAGAUGCUGACGAGUGGCGGACGGGUGAGUAACGCGUGGGAAUCUGCCUUCUAGUGGGGGAUAGCCCGGAGAAAUCCGGAUUAAUACCGCAUACGCCUACGGGGAAGGACCGGGUCGAGGACCUGGUACUCAAGGAGGGGCGUCAUGUCCUAUCAGCUUGUUGGUGGGGUAACGGCCUACCAAGGCUACGACGGGUAGCUGGUCUGAGAGGAUGAUCAGCCACACUGGCACUGAGAUACGGGCCAGACUCCUACGGGAGGCAGCAGUAAGGAAUAUUGCGCAAUGGGCGAAAGCCUGACGCAGCGACGCCGCGUGGGGGAUGAAGGUUUUCGGAUUGUAAACCCCUUUCAUGAGGAAAGAUAAAGUGGGUAACCACUUAGACGGUACCUCAAGAAGAAGCCACGGCUAACUUCGUG